rnacentral:rRNA from 1 species
GUAGGUGGCAAGCGUUGUCCGGAAUUAUUGGGCGUAAAGCGCGCGCAGGCGGUCCUUUAAGUCUGAUGUGAAAGCCCACGGCUCAACCGUGGAGGGUCAUUGGAAACUGAGGGACUUGAGUACAGAAGAGGAAAGCGGAAUUCCACGUGUAGCGGUGAAAUGCGUAGAGAUGUGGAGGAACACCAGUGGCGAAGGCGGCUUUCUGGUCUGUAACUGACGCUGAGGCGCGAAAGCGUGGGGAGCAAACAGGGAUUAGAUACCCUGGUAGUCCACGCCGUAAACGAUGAGUGCUAAGUGUUAGGGGGGUUUCCGCCCCCUUAGUGCUGCAGCUAACGCAUUAAGCACUCCGCCUGGGGAGUACGACCGCAAGGUUG